UACGUAGGGUGCAAGCGUUAAUCGGAAUUACUGGGCGUAAAGCGUGCGCAGGCGGUUUUGUAAGUUUGUCGUGAAAUCCCCGGGCUCAACCUGGGAAUGGCGAUGAAGACUGGCAAGGCUAGGGUUUGGCAGAGGGGGGUAGAAUUCCACGUGUAGCAGUGAAAUGCGUAGAGAUGUGGAGGAAUACCGAUGGCGAAGGCAGGCCCCCUGGGCCAAU
rnacentral:rRNA from 1 species